rnacentral:rRNA from 2 species
CUGAUGGAGCACGCCGCGUGAGUGAAGAAGGGUUUCGGCUCGUAAAACUCUGUUGUUAGAGAAGAACAGCCGUGAGAGCAACUGCUCACGGUAUGACGGUAUCUAACCAGAAAGUCACGGCUAACUACGUGCCAGCAGCCGCGGUAAUACGUAGGUGGCAAACGUUGUCCGGAUUUAUUGGGCGUAAAGGGAGCGCAGGCGGUUUAUUAAGUCUGAUGUGAAAGCCUUCGGCUUAACCGGAGAAGUGCAUCGGAAACUGAUAAACUUGAGUGCAGAAAAGGAUAGUGGAACUUCAUGUGUAGCGGUGAAAUGCGUAGAUAUAUGAAGGAACACCAGUGGCGAAGGCGGCUAUCUGGUCUGUAACUGACGCUGAGGCUCGAAAGCAUGGGUAGCAAACAGGAUUAGAUACCCUGGUAGUCCAUGCCGUAAACGAUGAAUGCUAGGUGUUGGAAGGUUUCCGCCUUUCAGUGCCGCAGCUAACGCAUUAAGCAUUCCGCCUGGGGAGUACGACCGCAAGGUUGAAACUCAAAGGAAUUGACGGGGACCCGCACAAGCGGUGGAGCAUGUGGUUUAAUUCGAUGCUACGCGAAGAACCUUACCAGGACUUGACAUCUUCUGCCAAUCUAAGAGAUUAGACGUUCCCUUCGGGGACAGAAUGACAGGUGGUGCAUGGUUGUCGUCAGCUCGUGUCGUGAGAUGUUGGGUUAAGUCCCGCAACGAGCGCAACCCUUGUCUUUAGUUGCCAGCAUUAAGUUGGGCACUCUAGAGAGACUGCCGGUGAUAAACCGGAGGAAGGUGGGGAUGACGUCAAAUCAUCAUGCCCCUUAUGUCCUGGGCUACACACGUGCUACAAUGGGCGAUACAACGAGUUGCGAAACCGCGAGGUCAAGCUAAUCUCUUAAAGUCGUUCUCAGUUCGGAUUGCAGUCUGCAACUCGACUGCAUGAAGUUGGAAUCGCUAGUAAUCGUGGAUCAGCAUG